CGAAGUCGAAGUCGGCAUAGAAAGUGAAACCACUCUGUGUUGGCCACACGAUCGUCGUUGCCAAGCGAAUACCAACGCAAAAGAGAGGGAACGAAGCCUGGCUCUAAGAUAUAAGCCAAACAACUAACUAUUACUCAAUCUGUGCUAAAAAGAAAAAAUAAAGAUAGAUAGAUAGAUUCGCUGCAGCUAAAGUUGGAGAUGAAGCGCCGCGGAGGCACAACAAUGCGGCGCGGACAAAGUGGAACUGGAGUGUGAAAGAUGGAUUGGAUGACAACUGAAUCGAGAUGGAUCGGGAUCUGGAGAUUCAGCUGGCGCUGGAGCUGGAGCAGUUCACCUCAAUAACGGACCCAAGAAACCGAAAGUGACGCUGAUCGAAGGGGUCCAAUCUUUCAUCUUAUGUACUAUCCCUUUUUAAAUUGUUGUAGUCCAUUCAUGUAACUGACUAUGUUAGUGACUAGCUCUUAAAAGCAAAAGUAAAUAUAUGAAAGAGUACCAGUUUUUAUUAAUAUCAAUAAAUCAAAUGAUAAAUAUA